GACGAACGCUGGCGGCGUGCUUAACACAUGCAAGUUGAACGAAGUGGCGGAUGGGCGAGUAACACGUGAGGAACCUGCCUUUCAAAGGGGAAUAACACUGGGAAACCAGUGCUAAUACCGCAUAGUGAAAGAUGGCCUCGCGCCUGAUUAGCUCGUAGGUGAGGGAACGGCUCGCCUAGGUGGAGAUCAGUAGCCGGACUGAAGGUUGUUCGGCCGCAUUUGGACUGGGACACGGCCCAGCCUCCUACGGGGGGCAGCAGUGGGGAAUAUUGGGCAAUGGCGCAUGCCUGACCCAGCAGCGCCGCGUGAAGGAAGACGGUCUUCGGAUUGUAAACUUCUUUAGGCAGGGACGCGGUACCUGUAGAAUAAGCCACGGCUAACUACGUGCCAGCAGCCGCGGUAAUUC
rnacentral:rRNA from 1 species